ensembl:lncRNA
GAUUUCGAAGAGAAAACGCGUGAUUUUCGCUUAAAUGGGGAUUUGCGAAGAGAAAACGCGUGAUUUUCGCUUAAAUGGGGGAUUUGUGAAGAGAAAAGGCGUGAUUUUCGGGUUAAAUGGGGGAUUCUCGAAGAGAAAAUGCGUGAUUUUCUUGUUAAAUGGGGGAUUUGCGAAGAGAAAACACGUGAUUUUCGCUUAAAAGGGGAUUCUCGAAGAGAAAAUGCGUGAUUUUCGCUUAAAUGCGGGAUUCUCGAAGAGAAAACGCGUGAUUUUCGGUUAAAUGGGGGGUUCUCGAAGAGAAAACGCGUGAUUUUCGGUUAAAUGGGCGAUUUGCGAAGAGAAAACACGUGAUUUUUGCUUAAAUGGGGGAUUCUUGAAGAGAAAAAGGGUGAUUUUCAGGUUAAAUGGGGGAUUUGCGAAGAGAAAACGCGUGAUUUUGGGUUAAAUGGGGAUUUGCAAGAGAAAACGCGUGA